rnacentral:rRNA from 1 species
UACGGGGGGGGCAAGCGUUGUUCGGAAUUACUGGGCGUAAAGGGCUCGUAGGUGGCCAACUAAGUCAGACGUGAAAUCCCUCAGCUUAACUGGGGAACUGCGUCUGAUACUGGAUGGCUUGGAUUCGGGAGAGGAAUGCGGAAUUCCAGGUGUAGCGGUGAAAUGCGUAGAUAUCUGGAGGAACACCGGUGGCGAAGGCGGGUCUCUGGGGCCGAUACUGACGCUGAGGAGCGAAAGCGUGGGGAGCGAACAGG